UACGAAGGGUGCAAGCGUUACUCGGAAUUACUGGGCGUAAAGGGUGCGUAGGUGGUUUGUUAAGUCUGCUGUGAAAUCCCCGGGCUCAACCUGGGAAUGGCAGUGGAUACUGGCAAGCUAGAGUGCGGUAGAGGGUAGUGGAAUUCCCGGUGUAGCAGUGAAAUGCGUAGAGAUCGGGAGGAACACCAGUGGCGAAGGCGGCUACCUGGACCAGCACUGACACUGAAGCACGAAAGCGUGGUGAGCAAACAGG
rnacentral:rRNA from 1 species